CCCUGAGCAGUCAUCCUGUUAAAGGAGGAACCAGUUAGAAGCUGUUUUCAAAGUAGCUGAGCAGAUUUCAUCUCAACAGACAAAGCCGAUGGCAGAAGAUGUCGGAGAAGAACUUCAGGCCGUGUACUGAAAAGGUAUUUUUUUCUUGUUAUCAAAAGACAUUUGGAGUGACGGCUUCUACAACUGGUUGUGCUGAAGUAAAGCUUACAGUCUAAGAAGCCACAGUAUUGAUAUUCAGCACAAAGAGAAAAGCUCACUUGUUUGAAUUUAUUUACAAUCAUAGUUUUAUAAAUUCUGACCGUAAACACCUUUUACAGCUUUUAUAUUGUUUGACACUAGAUAUCAGGUUUAAUUUAAAGGUUUCUGUGUCCCAGUGAGCCAUUUACACUGACCAGUGUCAGUUUAACUGUAACACAUUCAUUAUUUAGUUCCAACA